GAUCUCUGGUUUCCCUUCAGCUCAUAUAAAUCUUCCACUUUUUACUAAAGAUUUCCAUGGAGAGGAACAGGCAUGAGUUCUGAGGAAGUUUUUGAGGCUCCAUUUUGAAGGUUA